CCUCCUCUUCUUGGCGAGGUUCGGGUGUGUGGUCCCAGUUCCCGUAAUGAAUGGAGGCAGAGGGAGAGAUCCCCGACCCCCUUGGCGUCAUUCCUUCCAUGCUGACGGUUUCCAGUCCACCGGUUCUAUUCCCAAGCACUGGGACAUGG
rnacentral:snoRNA from 1 species